GUGGUAUCUGUAACUACAUUUGCC
rnacentral:siRNA from 1 species